CUGCUCAGGACGAACGCUGGCGGCGUGCUUAACACAUGCAAGUCGAGCGGAAAGGCCCUUCGGGGUACUCGAGCGGCGAACGGGUGAGUAACACGUGAGCAACCUGCCCCAAGCUUUGGGAUAACCCUCGGAAACGGGGGCUAAUACCGAAUAGGACUGCUGGCCGCAUGGCUGGUGGUGGAAAGUUUUUUGGCUUGGGAUGGGCUCGCGGCCUAUCAGCUUGUUGGUGGGGUGAUGGCCUACCAAGGCGACGACGGGUAGCCGGCCUGAGAGGGCGACCGGCCACCCUGGGAAUGAGACACGGCCCAGACUCCUACGGGAGGCAGCAGUGGGGAAUAUUGCACAAUGGGCGGAAGCCUGAUGCAGCGACGCCGCGUGAGGGAAGACGGCCUUCGGGUUGUAAACCUUUUUCAGCAGGGACGAAGCGAGAGUGACGGUACCUGCAGAAGAAGCACCGGCCAACUACGUGCCAGCAGCCGCGGUAAGACGUAGGGUGCGAGCGUUGUCCGGAUUUAUUGGGCGUAAAGAGCUUGUAGGCGGCUUGUCGCGUCGACCGUGAAAACUUGGGGCUCAACUCCAAGCCUGCGGUCGAUACGGGCAGGCUAGAGUUCGGUAGGGGAGACUGGAAUUCCUGGUGUAGCGGUGAAAUGCGCAGAUAUCAGGAGGAACACCGGUGGCGAAGGCGGGUCUUUGGGCCGAUACUGACGCUGAGGAGCGAAAGCGUGGGGAGCGAACAGGAUUAGAUACCCUGGUAGUCCACGCUGUAAACG
rnacentral:rRNA from 1 species